GCUUCCUACUCCAUUUUCUCUGGGGCAAUAGCAGAAUAGGAGCAAGCCAGCACUAGUCAGCUAAGUGACUCAACCAAGGCCUUUUUUCCUUGUUAUCUUUGUAGAUACUUCAUUUUCUUAGUGUUUCUGGAGAUUACAACAUCCUGCGUUUCCGUUUCUGGGAACUUUACUGAUUUAUCUCCCUGCUCACACAAAAUAAGCAUUGAUUCCUGCAUUUCUGAAGAUCUCAGGAUCUAGACUAUUGUUGAAAAAAUUUCCAGUGGGGCUCACUUAUGUCUGUAAAGAUGGAAAAAAAAUACAAGAACAUUGUUCUACUAAAAGGAUUAGAGGUCAUCAAUGAUUAUCAUUUUAGAAUGGUUAAGUCCUUACUGAGCAACGAUUUAAAACUUAAUUUAAAAAUGAGAGAAGAGUAUGACAAAAUUCAGAUUGCUGACUUGAUGGAAGAAAAGUUCCGAGGUGAUGCUGGUUUGGGCAAACUAAUACAAAUUUUCAAAGAUAUACCAACACUUGAAGACCUGGCUGAAACUCUUAAAAAAGAAAAGUUAAAAGCAAAAGGACUAGCCCCAUCAAGAAAGAGGAAGAAGGAAGUGGAUGCUGCUUCACCUGCACCCUCCACAAGCAGCACUGUCAAAACUGAAGGAGCAGAGGCAACUCCUGGAGCUCAGAAAAGAAAAAAAACAACCAAAGAAAAGUCUGGACCCAAAGGGAGUAAGGUGUCCAAGGAGCAGACUCAGCCUCCCUGUCCUGCAGGAGCCGGCAUGUCCACAGCCAUGGGCCGUUCCCCAUCUCCCAAGACCUCAUCGUCAGCUCCACCCAACACUUCCUCAACUGAGAACCCGAAAACAGUGGCCAAAUGUCAGGCAACUCCCAGAAGAAGUGUUCUCCAAAAAGGCCCAGUGAUAGUGAAGGUACUGAGUACAACAAAGCCAUUUGAAUAUGAGACCCCAGAAAUGGAGAAAAAAAUAAUGUUUCAUGCUACAGUGGCUACACAGACACAGUUCUUCCAUGUGAAAGUUUUAAACACCAGCUUGAAGGAGAAAUUCAAUGGAAAGAAAAUCAUCAUCAUAUCAGAUUAUUUGGAAUAUGAUAGUCUCCUAGAGGUCAACGAAGAAUCUACUGUAUCUGAAGCUGGUCCUAACCAAAAGUUUGAGGUUCCAAAUAAAAUCAUCAACAGAGCAAAGGAAACUCUGAAGAUUGAUAUUCUUCACAAACAAGCUUCAGGAAAUAUUGUAUAUGGGGUAUUUACGCUACAUAAGAAAACAGUAAAUCAGAAGACCACGAUCUACAAAAUUCAGGAUGAUAGAGGAAAAAUGGAUGUAGUGGGGACAGGACAAUGUCACAACAUCCCCUGUGAAGAAGGAGAUAAGCUCCAACUUUACUGCUUUCGACUUAGAAAAAAGAACCAGAUGUCAACACUGAUUUCAGAAAUGCAUAGUUUUAUCCAGAUAAAGAAAAAAACAAACCCAAGAAACAAUGACCCCAAGAGCAUGAAGCUACCCCAGGAACAGAGUCAGCUUCCAAAUCCUUCAGAGGCCGGCACAACCUUCCCUGAGAGCCAUCUUUGGACUCCUCAGAUGCCACCAACAACUCCAUCCAGCAGUUUCUUCACCAAGGUACAAUUUCCUGGGUCCCAUGCCUCAUGUCUCCCCACCAUAAUUUACAGGGAUCAUUAGACUGUUGAAAGAGCUACUGCUGUAAUCUCUGUGUAUGUACAAUCUUGGUAUGAAAUUAUGUCACUCAAUCAUUUAUUGAAUUCAUACAGUGAGAUAGCACCACAUUAUAAUCUUUACUAUCUAAAAGGCAUUCAUUUAUAUAAUGAUUUCUAACUUUAAGAGGAUUACUAUCUUGUAUUGCUCCAGUUGUAGAGAGGGUAAGAGAGAGUGGCCAGACAAACAGAGACAAAAACAACAAUGCGUUCAGAUCCUAGGUUCCAGUUUCUUUUACCCAUUUCCCCUUUGCUUAUUAGUAAUAUUUCUGAUUUUAUUUUCAUAGUUCCAAGUUCCUACCCCCAUUACAUUUUUUGACACAUGCUAUUUUCUUGAUGGGUAUCUGUUUCUCCUAUUUCAUCACUGGUGAGAAUCUUCUCAAAUUUUACAUGCCAACUUAAAUGUUUUCCUCUGGCAAGUUCUUGCUGAUACAAGAUACUGGAACUGGUGAGUCCUCCCAUUCUUUGCUUUCACAGGGUCUCCUGUCAAUGAGAUUAAAUUACUAAUUUCAUAGAAGUGAACAGAGAGACUUACUUUAUAACGUGUUCCCCAUACUUCCUUCAUCUGAGGUUUUCCUUAACAGGGUCAGCAUAGCUCAGGUUAUAUUUGUAGACCAGAGCAAACCUACAAAUUCAGCCUAGAACAUGGAACAACAAUGACAAUAAUUAUAUUUCUACUUUUUGAGCACUUAACUAGAUGUUUGUUCUUACAUGUUGUUCCUGAUGUAGAUUAUCUCAUUCUUUCUUCAUAACCGUUAGGAGGAUGCUAAUUCUGCCCCAAUUCACAGAGAAGAAAAUAGAGGUACAGAAAGGUUAAAAAACUUCCUCAAGCUUUCAAAGAAAGUUAGAGUCGUGAUUCAUAUCCAGUCUUAUUUAAACCUAAAACAUGAAAAAUUAAUAAUUAUAUAUGGCUUUAGAUUAGGAGUUUAUAUAUGCCAUGUCAGUAAUUUAUUUAUUAGUUGCAUAACAGUUACAUAGCCCACGCUUUGCAAACCUUCUGAUAACAAAUGUGGCCAGUGGUGAUUAGAGUGUGUUCUAAUAAGUAAACCACUCUCCAGAAGUACAAUCUUUUCAUUCGCCUCUCUAACAGAGUGCAUUUUCUGUAUUAAAUAUCUGAAUGACAGAAGUGGUAGAACUAUGGAAAUUAAACUAAUAUUAAUAGAUAAUAAAAAAGGUUAAAAAUAGUGAAAAUAAAGGAAGUUAUACUUCCUUGCCCUUGGUAAAGAGUAUUUUUAAAAAAUCACUUACUUGGUAAUGCCAAGGUAAGUUCUUCAAUAUUUCUAAAUACAUUUGAGAACCUUGAAGGAUUCUAGCUGGCUGAUGCAGACUACAAAACAGCAGAAUUCUGCAUCUGGAAUUGUGGAUUUUAAAGACUCUUUCUAGCAAAGUGUUGAUCAAAACAUCUAAAGCAACAUAAGGCUGGGUUUCCUGGAGGCUGAAGAGCUGCAGAAAAGAGAAAGAGUAAUUUAAUCAAGUAAAAUUUAUGUGAUUAAAUUUCUCACUAUUAAUUAAGUAUAUUCAUUGAGACCCUACUAGUCUGUGUCUUUUGAUAUUUACAAGGUAUGCGUUCAUGAAGUGCUUCCUGACUCAAGAGAAUUACUGUCUUUUGUUGAUCCAGGUGUGGAGAGAGAUUGUGGGAAAGUAGCCAGAUGGAGGAAGAUGAAUACAAGAAUAUGUUCGUUAUCUUUAUUCCAAUUACCUUUCAUCCUUUCACUUCGUUCAUGACCACAUUCCAGGUUUUAUUUUAAACUAUCCAUGGUCUUUUCCAAAUAGAAGCUUUGACAUAUAGAUUGCUUCCUUUGCUGGGAUCACUUUCUCCAGUCUGUUCUCUAACCCAACUCUCCACAGGCCCCAGCCUAAAUCCCUUCCUAGAGCAAGUCCUCACUGGCACCCACGUUUCAGAUUAGAUGAGAUCCUCCCAUAGUUGGUUCUCUCUGGUCCUCCCUUUGUGAGCUUUCCUAGCUCCCUUUACUUUUCCUAAUAGCAUUUAAACAAUUGGAGUGUGGGAGUAAUUUUCUCCUUUUCUAUACCAUAAGCUCAGAUGGUAGGUAGCGUCUACCCCAGAGGAACAGAAUACAAGAAGGGAAAAGUCAGUUCAUGCUAUGUGCAUCAGUUCUUAUUCCAGAUUACCUUUUGCUUAGCAGUGAUAUGACGCUAGUAAUCACCUGCACUGAGGGUUCAGAAGCCUGUACCUGUGGUGAAGGGGCAGGAAACUUGGAGGAAAAGCAAAAGGAUUAAAUCAUUAUUUUUUACAGUUGUUUCUUACCCAAGCCCCAAGCUGUAUUGUGACCCAGCGGCAGAUACCUCCAGCAACCAUGUACACAUCCUGGAAGAGAAGCUUCCUAUAUUUAAAGAUUCUCUAUUUUGAUUUUUUUUGGUUUGUUUUCAUUGUUGUAAUUUUUAGUUAGCUUCAAAAAGCUGUAUUUCCCUCCAUAGUUUAUGCAGGUGUUAUUUGAAGAACAGAACCUGUGCCUUUUUGCCAUCUUGGCAAAGGUGGCUGUGGAAGGAGCCCUUGCUCAGUCAUUGCAACCUAAGAUCCAUUUUCUUUGUGCCUUUUCAAUGACUUAAGUGGCAUUUCCAAACAACUAUGCUUUUAUCACUCAUAUUUCUUUGAAAGGAUUAUGUGAGAAUUUCUAAGUCCCACCUGCUAAAAUAUGAAUCACAACCCUUGCUACAGCUGUACAAAUGAUUGUGCUGUGUGUGAACUUCCCCGGAUCACAGGAAUCCCAGGAGGAUUGUAUGCCUUCAUGGCCUCAUGCACCUAAACACACUACGCAGCCAUUUAUUCUUGGGUGUCCACUAUCGUCUGUAAAUACAGUGUCUGUCUAACUACUUUUCUGGUGACUCCCCAGAUGAGUAUAGUCUUGUUCCACUGAUCAUAGGGUUUCCCAAAGAUUUUCUCUAUGGUAUACGUUCUAUAUUCAUUGAGAUUUAAAACAAGCAGCCUAUUCUUAUCGUUGAUUUUUUUUUCUGUUCUGUACACCUAAAGCAAGAAACACAAAUUGACAUGAAUCAGGAGCAGGGAUGGGAGGGGAGAUAAUUACUCUGAGAAAAAAAAUUACAUAGUGAUUUAAAACAUUAUUCAACCAAAGAUUAUCUUUUUCUCAUCUAAAUUCUACUCUGGUUAUGGGACUGUUUUACUUGAAUGAAUUUGAGAAGAUAAUACUCCAAGGUAUUCUUGUGAAUAAGUGGCAGAAAUGAAUAGAGAAGUUUCUUUAAUAAAAACUUCUCAUACCAACUCGAUCUAGGGUUUCUGUCAACAAGGUAAACAGAAUAUGAAAUAGCAGUUAAUCAGAGCACACAUACAAAUCCCUGCAGAGACAGUGUAAUAACAGUAACAUAAAUCGUAUUUCUACUUUGUAAGCACUUACUAGGUGCUGGUUUUAAAACCUGUAUUCUUUAUGUAUAUUAUUGCAUUCUUUCCUCAUAACAGUCAUGAUUCAUGCUAUUCUCAGCCUCAUUUUACGUAAGAGACAACCAAAAUAGAGUUUUAAAAUAUUUCUCAAAAUUCACAAAGACAGUGAGUGUGCUAAAUGUAAAUUAUGUGCACUUUAUGUACUUUUUCUUAUUCAUUCUUCCUUACAUCACCCAGAUGAUGUUAUUGUUAGUCACAUUUCACAUUUCUAAACACCAGGGAUCUUAGAGGUUAAAACUUUACCCAUGCUAAUAAUGAUUUUUAGUGUUAGAGCCAAGGUUCAAAUCCAGCCUUAAUGAACUCUAAAGCUUGAGCAUUUAAUGGUCACAUACUGCUUCCAAAGUCAGAAUAUAGAUGUUGAACUGUCUCAUAUAUUUACAUAUAUUUAAAAUUAGACAUUGUUUUUGUUUGGGUUUGUUUUCAUAAUCUAGUUUCUGCAAGGCUCCUAAUGAAAAAUUAAGUGGUGUAAGUCUCUGUAUCAUCCUGUGUUUUACAUUGCCACGUUAAGAACCCUGUGUUCAUCUGCACCCAAUAAUCAGAUGCUGUAUCUUCAGUGUAAGUCAAAAGAAAAACUAGAUGACAAUUUUCCAAGCUAGUGUCUCAUCUAGGUGCCAACUGCACUGUGACCACACUGUUUUCUAAUCACUCGUCCAUGUGUACCAGCUGAAGACAGGCCUCCCAUGUACAGAGUUCUCAAUUUUUCAUGUUGUUUUGUUGUUGUUAUUGUCCUAUUUGACUGGUAAAUUCCAAAAUUGUAUACUUUCUACGAGUUUUAUAUGUCAUAUAGAGCUACCUACCAUGCCUGUUUGCCAUCUUGCUUCAGGUGGAUAGACAGAGGCUGUGCCUAGUAAAGUCAUUAGCCGCUCUGAUCUCUGCUAUUUCAAGGACAAAAUUGGACAUCUCAGGACAGUCAGUUUUCUGAUGCAUAAUGACUUGAAAGAAAGUUAAUGACAGUUCCAAAGUUCCCAAUUGCCUAAAUAUGUGAUACAGCAGUUUCUGCAGCCAUAGGAAUCAUUACGCUGUGCCUAAAAACCCUAGGACAGGGAUUCUAGAAAGAGGCACGUGUCUCCAUGGCCGCCGAUGCUUCAAAACACAGUGCAUUACUUCUGCUUUGGUGACCAGCCCAAAGGUUGUCUCACCACUCACUCUAAGAUUCACCAGCUGAGCAGGAAAGCCUUGUCCUUACUCAUCAUGGUUUCUCCCAAAGAUUUUGUGUAUGAUAUGCGUUCAUUGUGCUUUUGGAUUCAAAACCUGAAGAAGACAGAAGCAUGACUUUAAGUCACAACUCCUCUAAAGCAUAGAUCACAUAAUGGCCUGAAUCGUGAUCUGGUAUUGUGGCAGGGAUUAAUUACUAUGAGAAAAACAAUCCGCUACUAUAUUAAAAUAUUACUCAACCAAAUCUACGAUUUUAGGCAUCCAAAUUCUGCUGAAAUAAUGAGAAUAUUUGUUUCAACUUAUUUUGAAAAGGAAAUCACUCAAGACAGUUUUAUCAGUGAUAUUAGGCUACCACAUUGUAGAAGGGAAUAAAGAGGCUUUUUUGGUAAUCUUCCUAUACCUCCUCAAUCAGGAGCUCCCUACAACUGGGUCAACAUAAAGCAUUAAAUAUCUUUAAAUAGGGCAGACAUUAAAAAAAAAAAAUGUACAGAACAUAAAAUAACAAUGAAAAUAUUUUUCUGCUUAUUGAGCAUUUAUUGGAUGCUGGUCUGUAAGAACUGUGUUUGUUACAAAAUUAUGCCAUAUAUUCAUCAUUGUAUCUCCAGAAAGAUACAAUUUUUAUCUCAUUUCACAUAUGAGAUUCAUGAGAUACAAAGAGGUUAAAAAUACCAUUCAGGCUAAUAAAAAUAAUUAGUGUUAGAGUAAGGAUUCAUAUCUAGCUUUAGUCAACUAAAAAACUUUGGUCAUCAUGCAAAUAUGUUUCUUCCAGUAUGGGACAGUAUAUAUUAAAAUUCUGCCAUAUAUCCAUAAAUAUUCAUAUACGUAGUGUUGAAUUUUGCAUUUGUUUUCAUAAUCCAGAUGCUUCAGGCCAUAAUAAGGUGCAUAAGAGGCCUAUAGGAUUGGGUGUUCGAAGCCAUAAUCAACAAGCAGGUUUUAUAGCCCUUUUUUCAAUCUAUUUAAAGACCAGAGAAAUAUAUUUUAUAGGCGAGUGUCUAUAUAUUGGAGAUGGGUCUCACUCUGUCACCUAGGCUGGAGUGCAGUGGCGCAAUCAAAGCUCACUGCAACCUCAAACACCUGAGCUCAAGGGAUCCUCCUGCCUCAGCCUCUCAAGUAGAUGGGACUAAAGGUGCACGCUACCAGGUCUGCGUAAUUUUUUAAAUGUUUUGUAGAGAUGAGGUCUCGCUAUAUUGCCCAGGCUGAUCUUGAACUCUUGGCCUCAAGUGAUCCUCCUGCCUCAACCUCCUGAGUUGCUGGGGUUACAUGCGCAAGCCACUGCACGCAGCUUAAAUGUUCUUAAAGUCUUUCAUUAGUGACAUUAGAGGAAGUCACACAUGAUUUUCCAGACACCCUCUAUCCUUUCUUUAACAAGGUGUAAAAAGACAGGUGCUGGGAAUGCCCUAGUGGAAUUUGGAGUGAUCCUGAUUACUGUUGGGAAUCCUGAAGGAUUCUGAAUGUCUGUUGCACACCACAGGACCAACAGAAUCCCGCCCCUGGAACGAUGCUUUCAGGGAAUGCUUCCAGCAAAGAGAGGAUCAGUAUGCCCAAACAACCAACACAUGAGUUUCCUGGAACCUGAAGUGCAAAUUACAGGAGUCAGUUUGUGUAUUUGCUUGAUGAGAAUGGCUUCUAUCACUUUGGGUAAUGUUGUUUUGAAAUUUGCUGCCCUUAUAAACUGAGAGGGUUAUUUAACAAAAAUAACCUCAGUGGAGGGGCUUAACCAAGUUGGCCUAGAUGGAUUUUCAGCAGAAAUAGAGCCAGGACCUAAUCACACAACAAUAAAAUUUCAACCAACAGGAUGAAGGCUAUCAUACUGGUUUGUGAGUGUACAGUUGAAGGAGUUAGGAUAUCUAAAUUUAUACUCUUCUUCCAUAGAAAAUACCAGAGAGAUGAUAGUGAAAACAGAAUAAAAGGAAAAAUAAGAAACCCAAACCUACAUAGAUAUAGACAUGGAUAUAUUAGGUUUUUGUUUGUUUGUUUGUUUGAGAUAGAGUCUUGCUGUCACCCAGGAUGGAGUGCAGUGGCAUAAUCUCAGCUCACUGCAACCCGUGCCUCCCGGUUUCAGUAGAGACGGGGUUUCACCAUGUUGGCCAGGCUGGCCUUGAACUCCUCACCUCAGGCAAUCCUCCCGCCUUGGCCUCCCAAAGUGUUGGGAUUACAGGCAUGAGCCACUGCUCCUGGCUGGGUUCUAUCUCAUUCCGAAAACCGCAAGACAGAAAAGACUCAAUCUUUUCCUGAGAACCUGGAGGCCAGAAUCACCCUAAUUGAUGACUUCAAUAGAAUAAAAUCUUCUCAAGACUUGAAACUGCAUCUGCAAACUUCUGGCUUCAGAAAACCUCCAGGAGUGAGCCAUCCUCAGACUUCACAGAAAAUUACAUAAACCCCAUCCAGCCAUUUCUUAGCCAAAUCACUAGCUUACUAUUAUCAUCCUUUGUGCCUCUUCAAAGGUGUAUUUGCAUUGUAUAAUGCAAUGGGAACCAUUGCUGAAGAGGUACAAAUUAGUACAAACAUUUUGAAAACCAAUUUGGUGCUAUCUUAAACCUGAAAACAUGCAUAUUUUACCAAUGCUGUGAAUCCAACUGGGCAUAUGAAUAAAUAAAAUGUGUACAAAUAGUCACAGCAGCAUCACGUGAACUGGAAAAAUCUUGGAAGAACCCAUGACGUAUGUCACGAGAAUGGGUAAAUUAGGGAACAUGAUGUUGAAUUGAAAUUAAAUAAGCUGCAGAUGCAUGCAUCACAGAUGCAUAUGAGGCAUAUAAUAAUUGGAAAAAGCACAUCACAGUAAAUUUUAAAUAGUAUAAUAACAUUUUUGUAAGCUCUGAAACUAAUAAAACUAAAUAUCAUAUUGCUUAAGAAUAAAUGCGUUGUGUGGUAAAA